AUAAGGACCCGGCGGAAGCUGGACGUUUGUUUUUGCCGAAAUGCCAGGAAAGCGGCGGCAUAAGUGUGCUCUGCAAGAGCGCCUGGUCAAGCCACAUAUGCUGCGAGUGCUCUUUGGAAUAACAUGGAUGAUGACAAUGACAGAUCAUGCAUCUGUGAUGACGGUACUUUUAUGAUGGUGAUGGUGACCUAUCCUGGACGACCCUUUUGAAGAAAUAGGAAGAAAUAAAUGUUUGGAAGCAUAGUUUGUUCAUAAAUAUAUUCGUUAUCUGGCACGA